rnacentral:lncRNA from 1 species
CCCAUCUGUCAUGGCAGCUGCAGCAAGCCUCACCCAAGGAGAGUCUGGCUGGAGGCCAAACAACACAAAACCAGCACACUUAACAAAAAUAUAACCAAUGACCCUUGCAGAGUCCACUUAACUCCCCUCCACCAGAGCAGGUGCUGGUAUCCACAGCUGAGAGACCUGAAGAUGGAUCACAUCACAGGACUCCUUGCAGACAUUCUCCAGUACCAGCCCAGAGCCUGGUAGGUCUGUUGGGUGGCUAGACCAGUAUUCUAAGUGAAGUAACUCGGAAAUGGAAAACCAAACAUCAUCUGUUCUCACUCAUCAGUAGGAGCUAAGCUAUGAGAACACAAAGACCUGUCCACGCUGAGUUUAUAGCAACUGUCAAUUACGGUUCAGAUUUUCCUACCCCAGCGUGACUUUCCAAAGAGGCUUCUGCUCAUGGAUUUCUGCUCCAGGAAGAUGCAACAGGAAGGUCCUCACAAGAUGGCUGAACAGAUGCAGGUGCUGUGCCUCUGGACUGCCUAGCCUCCAGAACUGGAAAAUGGUUCAUUGUUUCCAUCAUGUACUCUAUGGAAUACAAAGCUCUGAAACCUGUUGGCUACUGGAAGUGUACAAGAAAAAGACUCUCAAGCUAGAGGUGGGGUAGAGCUGGAGCCAGCCAUGUCAAGAUCUUUCGAGGACAUGAACAUUUUUUAUGCUUAUUAAAAGAUGAUGUGGUUUUAAAAUAAAUCUAAGGCUGGGCGCAGUGGCUCAUGCCUGGAAUCCCAGCAGUUUGGGAGGCUGAGGCGGGUGGAUUGCUUGAGCUCAGUAAUUCAAGACCAGCCUGGGCAACAUGGCAAGAAACUCUCUCUACUAAAAACAGAAAAAUUAA